GCCACGUGGCAAGAGCAGAUGGACGUUUUUGGGCGAGAGAGUGUUGGCUGCAGGAUGCUAACCCCGUCAGAAUCUCAGUGGAGCCGGUGUUCAAUGGAGCAAAGCACACAGAAUCCCAGCUGGAUGACACACGAUAUGACAGACCUGGCUGAGCAGACCUUGGCUGCCUGAAGGAAGGAAGCACCCUAUAUCUGUUCAGACUCCAUCCUGAGUCAGCCAAGACCCAUCGCAGAAAUGAGCAGGUCCGGAAUGUCUGAGAAUGCUUGUUGACUGCACUGCUUCUCAGAUGAAGAGACAUUCCAGGGAGAGACACCUCACCCAGCGUCACUGUCCGCAUGCCUUGACCCAGACUCCACUGUUCUUCAUACUUCAUGUCCCUAACACUCCUUCCAACUGGGUGUGGUGGCGCACACCUUUAAUCCCAGCACUCUGAAGGCAGAGGCAGAUGGAUCUCUGAGUUUGAGACCAGCCUGGUCUACAAAACCAGUCCAGGACAGCCAGGGCUACACAGAGAAAAUUUGUCUUAAAAAACAAGCAAACAAAAAAAUACCACCACCAAAAAAGGCAACAAACCACCUGUACACCCAACCCCUUCUCCCACACAGCCUCUGUGCAUACCCAUUCUGUGUAACCAACCAGUGAUUUUUUUUUUUUAAGAUAGGGUCUCAAUAUAUAGCUCUGGCUGUCCUGGAACUCUCACACUGUAGACGAAGCUGGCCUCAAACUCACAGAGAUCCACCUCCCUGUUUUUGCCUCCCAAGUGCUAGGAUUAA